rnacentral:rRNA from 1 species
GUAACAAGGUUUCGGUAGGUGAACCUGCGGAAGGAUCAUUACCGAAGUCAUAGAGUUUGAGACUGCGUCUUCAUGGCGUGUGCUCGGCUCUUACUCUUCCCUAUCCACACCUUUGUGCACCAUGGGAUGAAAUAAAAGUCCCCUUUUUUAUAUUAAUACCUAGUUAUAUGCAUGUCCUUAUAUACUCUAAGGAGUUAAUACAACUUUCAACAACGGAUCUCUUGGCUUUCGCAUCGAUGAAGAACGCAGCGAAUGUGCGAGACGUAAUGUGAAUUGCAGAAUUCAGUGAAUCAUCGAAUCUUUGAACGCAUCUUGCGCUCCUUGGCAUUCCGAGGAGCAUGCCUGUUUGAGUGUCGUGAUACUGUCAAUUUCACUCUUUUUGUUUGAAAUUGGACUUGAAUGCUGUCGUGGAGUGCCUUACGACUCAUUCUAAAUGCAUUAGCGAUCUGCCUUUGAUCACACAAUGUGAUAAUCCAAAAGCAUUGUUUGUAUUCAAGUGGAGAUGGCUUCUAACUGUCGAAAGACAAAGUGAAUGUCAUUUGACCUCAAAUCAGGUAGGACUACCCGCUGAACUUAAGCA